rnacentral:rRNA from 1 species
GACGGACGCUGGCGGCGUGCUUAACACAUGCAAGUCGAACGGAAAGGCCCUGCUUUUGUGGGGUGCUCGAGUGGCGAACGGGUGAGUAACACGUGAGUAACCUGCCCUUGACUUUGGGAUAACUUCAGGAAACUGGGGCUCAUACCGGAUAGGAGCUCCUGCUGCAUGGUGGGGGUUGGAAAGUUUCGGCGGUUGGGGAUGGACUCGCGGCUUAUCAGCUUGUUGGUGGGGUAGUGGCUUACCAAGGCUUUGACGGGUAGCCGGCCUGAGAGGGUGACCGGCCACAUGGGGACUGAGAUACGGCCCAGACUCCUACGGGAGGCAGCAGUGGGGAAUAUUGCACAAUGGGCGGAAGCCUGAUGCAGCAACGCCGCGUGCGGGAUGACGGCCUUCGGGUUGUAAACCGCUUUCGCCUGUGACGAAGCGUGAGUGACGGUAAUGGGUAAAGAAGCACCGGCUAACUACGUG